rnacentral:lncRNA from 1 species
CCCAGUUCUACCACUUCCUGACUGUAUGACUUUGUAUAACUCCUUUAGCCUCUUUGAGCGUCAGCUUCUCCAUUUAUAAAAAGGGGAUGACCAUUCUGCUCAGAGGACGUUAUACGUAAAUAAAAUAUGUAUGCAGCACCUGGUACAGAAAGCAUGAUAUUCACUGGUCCUGUUUUAGUUACUUUCCUGUCUCAGUGUGUUUGUUCUUAUAGUUAUUUCUACUUGGAACACUCCCUCUAGAUAUUUAUAGCUAGAACCUGUUUUUAGUGCCCUUGCCUGUUUCAUUCUCCCAGCCUAAGUUUCCGUAUCUGUCUGAAGAAGGGGUGGUUUGGUGUUGAUCUCCGAGACCCGUGUGUCUCUUCCCAUGUGGAAUUAUUGUCACUCUCUUAUUGCUUGUUUUUCUUUGUCCUGGAAAAUUUGCCUUUAGAGGUUACAGACUGGUUAGUGUUAUCUCU